rnacentral:rRNA from 1 species
CUCGAGUCUUUGACGCAAGUUGCGCCCGAAGCCAUUAGGUCGAGGGCACGCCUGCCUGGGUGUCACACAUCGUCAUUCCCAUGCAAACGUGCAUUGGGACGAAAGUUGGCCUCCUGCGAGACACUCAUCGUGGUUGGUCGAAAACCAAGGUAAUGUCGGGGUCCUCCCGCGAGAAACGGUGGAUGAGCAAUGCUCGAGACCAAUGGCGGUGGUGGACACUCGAUAGUCCUAUCAGUGGGCCCUAUUGCGUUAUUUGCAGAAAGCAAAGACGCUCUUAACGAGACCUCAGGUCAGGCGGGGCUACCCGCUGAGUUUAAGCAUAUCAAUAAGCGGAGGAAAAGAAACUAACAAGGAUUCCCUUAGUAACGGCGAGCGAACCGGGAACAGCCCACCAUGAGAAUCGGUCGCCUAUGGCGUUCGAAUUGUAGUCUA